UAUGUACUCCCUCCGUUCCGAAUUACUUGCCUUAGAUUUGUCUACAUAUGGAGAUAUCUAGCACUAAAAUGAGUCUAGAUACAUCCGUAUCUAAACAAAUUCAAGACAAGUAAUUCGGAACGGAGGGAGUAUGUG
rfam:Triticum urartu cultivar G1812 contig305400, whole genome shotgun sequence.